rnacentral:tRNA from 1 species
GAUUUCAUAGCUCAGCUGGUAGGGCGUGCGCUGUACAAAAGCGUAGGCGGUGUCCCUCUGUGGGUUCGAAUCCCACCGAGGCUA